GGCAGCGCUGCGGCCGUCCCCAUCCAUUCCCCAUCCGUUCCCCAUCCGUUCCCCUGGGAGCUGGAGCGGUCGCUGCUCCCUGGAAUGUUUUUAAGUGUUAGAACACCUGCGCCCGCCGGAGCGGGAGGCGCGGGGACAGGGUGGCGGUGCGGGGCUCCCUUCGGUACCGGGACAAACGCGGAGCACCGAGCGCGCCGGCACCGGCCCAGCGCAGGGCGCGGGUCCGCGGGCACUGAGCCAGGCCUAAAGCAAGCCGGGACCCUCCAGAGAGGGGCACAAGCAGGACACACAAGGGAGGUGUGAGAGAUGUGCAAGUUUGCGGCCGCUCACUCCAGGCAAAGCCCGUUCUCGGGAGGUCUGGACGCAGUUGUUUGAAAUUCCCAGUCUGAUGGGGCAUCAGUUGUGGUUUACACUCACCGGGCUCGGCCCGCUGGCCACACAAGCCCCAAAAGCACCAUGAGGUGCCUCGGCCUGCGAACACCCCGGCACAUCCUGCGCCUCCUGCACCCAUCCAGGGCCGGGGACACAAGAACUGCCAAGGCUCCUGGGUCCCUUCUCCCUGGACAAGAGGAGCCGAAGGACGAUCAGAUAUCCCAGAUAUCCAGCUACAUUGGUUAUUUGCUUGUCACCCUCUCCCAGUGUUACAUCACGCCUCUUUUCCCACCCUCUUCCCGUUUUUCCUGUGUUUCCACAUCCUUUUUUCCUGUUUGUUGCCACUGGUUUUCAUUCUUUAUCUUCGCUUCUUUCCUAGUCCUUUAACUUUGUCAGUUCCCUCCUUUUUGUUGUUGUUUUUUUUUUUUUAGCUUUCUCCUAAGCCAUUCAAUAAACAAAGCAAGCAGAAAAGAAUAAACUUUCCAAGCUGAUGCCAAGCAAGCAAUACCAACAGAGCUUUUCAGCUAUUUCCAUGAUUCCAUGUGUGGGCCAUCUUCUCUUUCCUUUUGUUAGGCUUGCUUAUUUAGGCACCUUCUCUGCAAAAUUUAAUGUUUUUUGCAUUAUGAGUAAUCCCAUUUUAGAUGAGAGAAGAUGACUGUAUGCUAACUAAAUUGCUAUAUUUGUGAACAUAACUGAUCUUAAAUUACACUCUGGAGGAACCUCCCCUUCUCCCCAUUGAUUUUAUGUGUUCUAAGAAGCCUGGCCACUAGUUUUAGGUCUCUAACCUCACUGCCUAAAACCAAGGCAGACUUUUCACAUUACUUAGUUUAAAUUAAUACCUUUCAGUAAGAAUUCUCAUAUUUUCUGAACUAGUUCAUGCAUCUUUUUAGGCUCAAACCUUAGACUGGAAGCUCUGUGGGGCAGGGGCUACUUACUUUGGCAAAGUACAAUCAAGCCCUGAACUCAUCUGAGAUAUUUAUAUGCUGGAAGUUGUAGAAAUAGCAAAUAAUUGACUCCAGAUAGAAACUUUUGGGUGUUAAUUUUCUGAACAUGAUUGCUAUUAAAAGAUUUAAUAAAUCAGAUUCAAACACUGCGCUUUUAAAGACUUUUUUUUUUCCCUUUAAGAUUAAUGCAACAAUCAAAAUCCACCGUGAGAAUUCUUUUUCCUUUUUGACUUUAAUGCCUUCCAUAAGCUAAACAUAUUUCUAAAUAAGACUGAAUUUUCACAAGGCCAGAGGAAGCCUUGCACAUCAACACCCAGCGAGCUGGAGUGGCAUGAAGCAAUAUAAAAUCAUAAAGGCUGUAGUAAAAGCAGUACCCUUGAGAGGUGACUGUCCAUGGAGAGAAGAACUGCUCUGAAACUUAGAAAAUGCUCAAGGUUUGAGAAUUAAUGCCAGGCAGCUGUCCGGUUCAACUAAGCAUAUACAAAUCAACUAUAUCCAUGAAUAUUAUUAUUUCUCUGUAAUUUUGUUAAAGACAAGGCAAAGUUACUAAAGCCUAACAAUCACCCAGUAAUAUCUUGUCAGUUAUAAAGUAUCCAGAUGGUUUAUUUGAAUGGAGUCCAGCAGUACGUAAUCUGAAUGUGUACAAACUACUAAGCCUCCCUAUAGCUGAAAUAAGUAUUUCAGAAUAUUACUUUAAGGUUUCAUUAUUUUUCUUCCUUUCUGACUGGUGUGCAAAACUCUCUGUUUUCUUACACUGGCAGCCAUAGAAAUACUGGUCUAUUGUGUAUUAAUCCUAUACAAAACUUGGCUGUGUUUGUAUGGCAAGAUGUCAAGUAAAGGUUCCAUUUGUUUGUUUUUGUUUUUGUCAUCCUUGCAUAUGCCCCACUGGAGUGAAAUGGGAAAGAGUCUUCCCUGACACAGGAGGAGAGAGGAAAGCCCCAGUCAAGAGCAUUCUGGAAAUCUCUUUCUGCCAGCUGGCAGGAACACGGCUCCUGCUCCCCAUGGGGUCCAGGGAGAAAAUGAUGGGUGACACACCUGACGAGGGGGGACACUGAGGAAAACCAGCUAAGUGAAGCAGUAGGGUAUGAACUAAAAACAAUAAUUUGGUUUAGAGAAUUUGGAAAGCUUAAUAGUGCUAUUUGUGCUUCAUCACAGUUUCCUGUAGUCAAACAUGAGGGAGGACAAUAAAAAUAGGAACUCCAUAGAUAUCACAAUGGGAUUUUUUUCCUAUAAUUUUUUUUCUAUGGACUUCAUAGAGGUAUGUCCAGUGUGAGUAGAUUACAGGAAAAAAAAUUCUACUUUUUGUAAAGAACUUGGAUUGUCCCUAAAGUAAGUGGGAGGGAAUAAAUGUGAACAUAGACUUUAAAGGGUCAGAGGUAACUGCAGGUCCAAAAUGAAAGAUAUAAGAUAACCAGAAGAUGCAUUUGCAAUGCACUCUAAUCAUAACGAAAUGAAACACCUCUUUUUUCUGAAUUCCAAGCCAGCUGGAGCCCAAGUGACAAACCCUUCUCCUCGUCCUUAACAAUGAAAUUUCUCAGGGCCCAGUGGAAAGCUGUAACCUGCCCUAGUGAGCUCUGAGCUGAUAUCCUGAGCAUGCAAAGCCCUGAUGCUGCUACUUCUGAGAAACAGCUUGAAAAGGAAGAAAAAACAGUACUAGCUGUCUGCUGGGAAGAAAACUUAAUACUAUUUGAUGUGCAUUGAAGUUAAAACACACUUCAUGGCAAAGCUCUGUGGACACAAUUCAUGUACUUCAAUAUAUUCAGUCAGUUAAAGAAAAGUUUUCCUGCACUGUCUGUCUGAGCAUCUCAGCCCUAAUCUGAAGGCACCACCAUCUAGUGGGAUAAGAAGGUAUUUAAAUUUCUUUACAUUCUUUUGGUAUUUUUAAACAUGGACAUUGCAUUCUA